rnacentral:lncRNA from 1 species
AUGGAAAGAUUGGGUUUAUCUGGAGAACUGCAAACGCACGCCUCCCUACUGGCACCACAGGAGGAGCAGGAGAGUCCAAGGAGCUGCUCGGCCGUGGCCCUCCACGCCAAGGCACAAACCCGGCUGCCAGGGCCACACACAGACCCCGGGAUCCAAAUCCAAAGCCCCAAACGAGGAAGGAUUCCGAAGGACGUGAUAACAACCAAAAUACAUCAGUUCUCUCAAAACGAAAAGUGCAUCCCUAAUGAGCUUGUCACACUCCACAUCCCAGGACCCCAGCUGUUUUCAGGUUACCAGGCAAAGCCACUUCUUUUGAUUCUAUUAUUAGCGUCUCCAACAAAGUGACAAGAAAAAUAGCUCCAGAAGCAACCUGCGCCAUCGCGUUCACACCAAGUCAAUAAAUAUGCGCGCAUGCGCACACACACACACGCACACGCGCACACGCACACACGCACACGCACCAGCCUCUCCUGAUCUCCCCCUCAGACUCCAGCGCCUUUAGGGCUCGGCGCAGAGGAGCCUGGAUACAGGAUUUCGGCCACCUGAGCAGCAAAGGAGAAGACGCCCCAUCUGCCGGCCACCAGCCUCGAGCACUGACGGCCAGGAUGAAGAAGGGACCCCGCGACUCAUUACGUCGUAGCCCUCAGGCCGGGCACACUCUUCCCCCGGGGACCCCACGCAGCCUCGGCGAGGGCCACGCCGCGCCCAAUCCAGGAGGCCUCCGAGCUGCAGCAGCUGUGGCCUCUAUAAAGGAUCCUCUAGAACCUGUCCGGCAACGCCAGAGCCAGGUCGCCAGAUGCGUUCUACAGCCUCCUUCCUAGAGCUGCAGGCUGGGACGCCCCGCACACAGACAGGCUGGGAACCGCUAAGCUUCACAAAACUGCUACACAGAGGGCUAUGUCCCACCUGCCCGUGUCAGGUGGCCAUCGCCUUGUGGGUUCAGGUGCAGGCGCGACUCCAACACCAGCAGGAAAGCUCCAGGUGGACCUGGCGGCGAGACCCAACCAGAACUGACACAGGAGCGGGGAUGACUGGGAAGAUCCAACUUAUGUAAAACGGAACUCCGGGUCCCAUCAAGGACCAUAAUAAGUACUGCUGUAAGCGAAUAUUACAGUCUGAGGUAUCAGAGGGAGUUCAACUAGGUAACCCAGACAGAAUUAUGGGAUGGUCAAGUCCUUUGACUGUUAAGAAUCUGCAAUAAAAAACAUUGUAACCACUGACCUAGGGAUCUGCAACAUCAGCUGACUUUGGCUUUCCUCUCUCCA